CGGGGCCGUGGGAGCGCUGCAUCGGCAGCUGGAGGGGCUCCGCGACCGGCGCAGCGGGGAGCUCGCCAAGUAUCAGGAGCGGGUGGCGGAGCUGGAGCGGCAGAUCGGCGAAGCGGAGCAGGAGAUGGCGCGGUGCCUCCGGGAGUACCCCGCGCUGCUGCGGCUGCGGAUGGCGCUGGACGCGGAGAUCGCCGCGUAUCGGGAGAUGCUGGAAGGGGAGGAGCUGCGCCUGGGUGCCGUGGUACCGCCGUGACGGGGCGCCCACCCCUUCGCUGCGGACCGGGGACCGCCGGAACCCCCCGGGCUCCCGGCACCGGGCUGCUGUGCUGCGGGGCCCUCCGUGCCCCCCGGCCCCCUGGAGCGCCCUCCAUUCCCGAGCCGCGGGACCCCCGGACUCCUGGAACCCGGUCCUUCCGGACCCCUUUGCCACGGGAGCCCUGGGCUCCGCCGACGUCCCCGGGAGGCCCCCACUCCCCGGCGGGGCAGCGCCCCGGGCCGCACAUCAGUCUCACCAGCCUCUCCAGAGCGGCAGCAGGGCUGCAGUCCCGGCCCUGGUCCACGCGGGUGCGCCUCAAUAAACGCCCCGUGGCAUUACCCAGC